rnacentral:lncRNA from 1 species
CCGAUGAGGGUGGUUGCCGAUGAAGGAGAAGUUGAACGUGACUAAGUCUACAGACGGUGAUGUGUCUGUGCCGAUUGCUAUGAUGAGAAAGUCUGCCGAUGACUAUGGCAAGGGAGUCUGCCGAUGAUACGAAGGAGGAGUUCGGCAGCCGCCGAUGGUUUGUGACAGAGUUUCAGUUUGUCACGGGGGAUAGUUUUGUUAUUUCCUUAAUUAUUUGAAUCGUUUUGUAUGCGGAUUCCGUGUAAUUUGGAAUUCGAAUUCUAAUCGUGUCUGGCUGUAGCUCUUUGAUCAGGGUAUAAAUAUAGACUCUAGGACCUUGUAAUGAGACAUCUAUCAAUCAAUCAAACACACGUUUUUUACUCAUAUUCCAGCAUCUACUUUUUCGAUGACUUCGUCAUACUUUUUCCCUUUUUAUUACGAGUUCUUAGGAAUUCGUCGACUUAAGCUCGGCGUGUUCUCGAGUUCCGCGUGAGUACCUCUUAGCCGUGACAUCCGGGCGCAUCGCUGUUGUCAGGACUAAAGUAUUCGAGUUAUCACCUUUGCCGAUAGUAAGGUUAAAUCGGCUGGCACGCCUUAACGUUUGAAUCGGGUAUUAGCCCUUUGUGUUUGCAGAUCAGUUUUGCACCAACACAUCUUUUGGCACGCCCAGUGGGACCGAUUCAAGAUCAAGUUCAACAUGUCGAUCUCUGACUUUGAUCAAGAGAACGUCAUCCCCGUAACGGAAGCCAAUCUCAAGGAUGAGCAGAAGCAAGCUAUUGCUCAAGCCAUCGAGGAAUACAAGCUGCAAUGCCUAAAGUCCUUCAGCAUGAACAGGAGCGGCGAAGUGAUCCAGAAAGAUGCACUGCCGGCACCACGGCAGGUUACUUUCGUAGCCAAUCCUGGCAAGCUUCAAGAUAUGGUUGAUAGUGCUAUCAACCGAGCCUUGAUCAACCAAGCUGGCGUACUGUCUAAUACGGUUUUCAAUGCCGUGGCAAGAACUUUCAAGGAAGGACAAAUCCCACCAGAUUAUGUGGGCCCUUCUCAUCAUCAGCCAACGUCACUAGAGGUCACGGCUCCAUCGGCUGCUACGGCCGCUGCGAGUGCACAGUCUGCCGUCCCUCCAAGUACGUUGGGAACUACUAAUGCACGAUCUGUGCCGAUGACAACUAACCCGCAAACUUCACGUGGGCAGAAUAAACUGACUACAGAUAUGUUGGCAUCGGCAAUGUCAGGGCUCACUCUUCCUCCCAACUGGUGGGGUUAUGGUAUGCCUCCAGAGUUGACACCGGGUACGUCACAGAUAACCGACAUGAGGGGCAAGGCUCCUAUGGCAUCGGCGCCUCCCAAUGCGCCGUGGAACCAGAGUCCUCGGUAUACUACAACUACUACUGCAAGGCCUCACACUGGGAAUCCUCAAGAUUCAAUGUUCCAGAUGCCUAAUGCAUCCGCAGAUUCAAUGCUGAUGCAACAGAGGUCUAUAGCCCAGUCGGGGUAUGUCAAUUCAAUAAUGGUACCCAAUUACCAAUCAUCGGCAGCGCCUAUGCCGAUGAACGCUAAUAAUGGAUGGCUUGGACAGCAAGUCUUUCCACAAACGCCCCAACAGAGUUACCAGGCUACAGGAUUCCAGCAAGGACAGAUCUAUCCCGGAUUCCAGAAUCAGGGGAUCCCCAACCAGCCAAUGAAUCUCGGACAGCAACUCGGGGGGCAGCAAAUCGGUGGACAGCAGUUUGGUGGUCCACAGAUUGGAGGCCAGAUGAUCAACCCAAUGUUCCAUGCGGAUCGUGCCCCAAACAGACACGUGGAAGCUCACCACCAGGUGCCGGACCCGCAGCCGCCUCAUCGGCAGGAUGCCGAUGCGUAUUGGGCCGAUAAGAUCGCUGAAGUAAUGAGGGAUCAAUUUGGGAUAAAACCCAAAGUCAACACUUACUCGUAUCGGACACCAUAUCCUCCUGCAUAUGAUUUGAUCCCGCUUCCGCAUCGGUACAAGGUACCAGACUUUACUAAGUUUUCUGGGCAAGACGACACGUCAACUAUGGAGCAUGUCAACAGAUUCAUCAUUCAAUGCGGAGAAGCCGGUAACAGGGAUGAAUUGAGGGUUCGUCUAUUUUCAUCAUCAUUGUCUGGAUCGGCCUUUACUUGGUUCAUAUCAUUACCUCCUAACUCAGUGAUUACUUGGGCCGAUAUGGAGAAGCAAUUCCACAAAUACUUCUUUUCUGGGGUUCAUGAGAAAAAGAUUACCGAUUUGGUCAAAUUGAGACAACGCAAUGAUGAAUCGGUUGAAGGUUUUGUGCAGAGGAUACGGGAAGUCAAAAAUAAAUGUUAUAGUUUGAUUCUAGAUGAUCGGCAGCUAGCCGAUUUGGCUUUCCAGGGUUUAUUGCCACACAUCAGGGAUAAGUAUGCCUCUCAGGAGUUUGAAAGCUUAAGUCAUUUGGUGCAGAGGAUUUCUGAUCAAGACAUCAAGCCUUUCGAGCCCAAAAGAGCAUGGAACAAGAAGGUAUCAUUUGUUGAUGAGGCAACAAGCUCAGAUUCUGAUGAGGAACCAGUCAUCGGCUUGGCAGAGUGGGUAAAGAACAAGAAGCCGAUGUCUUGCCCUUUUGGGCAGAAGGAACCAGAGAAGUUUGCUUUUGACACCGCUAAGGCCGAUAAGAUAUUUGAUUUUCUACUUCAGGAAGGUCAGAUCAAGCUGUCUCCUAAUCACGUGAUCCCAUUGGCAGAGGAGUUGAAGAGGAUGAAAUAUUGCAAGUGGCAUAAUGCAACUUCUCAUGACACCAAUGAGUGCAAAGUUUUCAGACAGCAGCUGCAAUCGGCCAUAGAGUCUGGGAGAAUCAAGUUUGACAGUUCCAAGAUCCAGAAGCCGAUGAAGAUAGACCAACAUCCUUUCUCGACAAACAUGUUGGAUGCCAAGGGGAAGGCUAAGGUCUUAACAUCGGAAGCAGCCGAGAAAAGUGCAUCGGUAGAUCCUCAGCAUCAAGUUACUACUGCCGAUGCAAGAGGUAAGGGCUUGGUCCAGGAAGGAACCAGUUCAGGGAGGCCUCCUCGGUCUGGCAUCGUUAUAACUCAUAGAAGGCCUCGAGAGAACUGGCAGCAACGGGAAGAUCGGUACCGGCGCCAGCAAGAAGAUUAUCGUCGGGAGGAAGAGAGACGCCGACAGGAGUGGAAUCGGCAUAGAGAUCAUUGGAACUGUCCGUUCUUUAUCCAUUGUUGGGAGGAGAAUAUUAAGCUUCCCACUGUCAGAGACUGCCCUGAGUGCAACGGUUAUGAUCGGUACGAUAGAACCGAUCGGCGUUAUCAUGAUGACAAUCGGCAAUUUAAUGGGCCGAUCAGAGGAAGAGCAUCAGUUCAUGAUCGGCUGGGGGGCAGGCUCAGCGUACACGAUAGGCUUGGUGAUCGUGUCCAAUAUUUUCCCAGGAACCAGGAAGAGCUCGAGGAGAUGGCUAAUGCACGAGUUCCCGAUGAGUUCAUAUUCUGCAGGGAUGCUAACACGCAUCGGAUGGAGUCAAGAGAGAAUCGACGCCCAGCAGCAAGGCAGAAGCCACUUCCUCCAUGGUGUCCUGAAGGGUUAACCAAGACACAGAAAAGGAGAUUGCAACGCGAAAGGCAAGAGGAGCUAAGCAAGGGCGAGAACUCUGGUCAGUCUGGAGGUCAGCAGCAACCAGACACUAAGAGGGAAGGUCCAUCGGCAGGAGUUAACAUGGUCUUUAUGUUGCCGAUGGAGUUUCUUGCACCAUCCAGUGAUGAUGAGUUGGAAUUUUCCGAUCAGAUAGCUCAGCUGGCUCUGGAUCCGAUGACAGCUAUCUUUGAGAAACCUGCCGACGACGAAAGACAACAUCUUAAGGCUCUGUUCGUCAAAGGAAGGAUUGAUGGGCAGCCAAUGACCAAGAUCCUAGUUGAUGGUGGAGCUGCUAUCAAUAUUAUGCCGUAUGCAGUAUAUCGGAAGCUUGGGAAAGGGGAUCAGGAUUUGACCAAGACCGAUAUGAUGCUUAAAGACUUUGAAGGGAACGUGUCUCCAGUCAAAGGGGCAAUAUGUGUAGAGUUGACCAUCGGCAGCAAAACCUUGCCGACAACUUUCUUCGUGAUCAGUGGAAAGGGGGCUUAUAACUUAUUGUUGGGAAGAGAUUGGAUUCAUGCCAAUUGUUGCAUCCCAUCUACAAUGCACCAAUGCUUGGUUCAGUGGGUAGGUGACAAAAUUGAGAUUGUCCCGGGGGAUUCUUCUUAUGUUAUUGCAUCGGCAGAGGCAGACACCUAUGAGAGGACCAGGUGCAUUUCAGGAGAAGUUUGGGAGAAAGAUUUUCUCAAGGUUGCCGAUUACGAGAUUCCACCGAUCCAAGCAGUCGGUUCUGAUGAAGAUUUUUAAUGGAUAGGUUCGCCGAUGAUGGAAAGUUAGGCCAGGGAUUCACAUCGGCCGAUGAGUUGGUAGAAGUAGAUAUAGGUAGUGGUGAUAAGCCUAGACCUACCUUUAUUAGUUCUAAGUUAAAUUCUGAGUGUAAGCAGCAAUUAACCGAUUUGUUAAAGGAAUAUAAAGAUAGCUUUGCUUGGGAUUAUACCGAGAUGCCUGGUUUAGACCGAUCAAUUGUUGAACAUCGGUUACCUAUUAAGUCUGGAUUUCGGCCACAUCAGCAGCCAGCUCGCCGAUGUAAUCCUAAUAUCCUUCCUGACAUCAAGGCCGAAAUAACCAAACUUAUUGAAGCUAAGUUUAUUCGGCAGUGUCGGUAUGCCGAGUGGAUUUCCAAUGUUGUUCCGGUCUACAAGAAGAAUGGGAAACUUUGGGUUUGCAUUGAUUUCAGGAAUCUUAAUAAAGCUACGCCGAUGGAUGGAUACCCAAUGCCAGUUGCCGAUCUGUUGGUUGACGCUGCGGCUGGGCAUCGAAUCAUUAGCUUUAUGGAUGGUAAUGCAGGAUACAAUCAAAUAUUCAUGGCUGAAGAAGAUAUUCCGAAGACUGCGUUCAGGUGCCCUGGUCAUGUUGGAUUGUUUGAGUGGAUAGUCAUGACCUUUGGCCUUAAGAAUGCUGGUGCUACUUAUCAAAGGGCCAUGAAUUUUAUAUUUCAUGAGUUCAUCGGCAAGCUGGUGGAAAUUUAUAUUGAUGAUGUGGUGGUUAAGUCUGGGGAUUUCACAAAGCAUCUUGCCGAUCUACGAAAGGUGUUAGAGUGCACAAGGAAGCAUGGAUUGAAAAUGAAUCCCAAUAAGUGCGCAUUUGGUGUAUCGGCAGGGCAGUUUCUUGGUUUCAUGGUACAUCAAAGGGGGAUUGAAAUUAGUCGAAGAUCUAUUGACGCCAUCAAUAAGAUAGUGGUCCCUACCAACAAAACUGAGCUCCAGUCCUUGAUCGGCAAGGUAAAUUUUAUCAGGAGAUUUAUAUCUAAUUUGUCUGGUAAAAUUCGUGCUUUCGGUCCUCUUCUUAAGCUAAAAGCCGAUCAAGAAUUUAUUUGGGGGAAAGAGCAACAGUCGGCUCUGGAUGAAAUUAAGAAGUAUCUAGUGAAUCCUCCAGUUCUAGUUCCACCUCAGCAAGGAAAGCCCUUCAGAUUGUAUUUGUCCACCGAUGGGAUGGUUAUCGGUUCAGCUUUAAUUCAAGAAUUUGAAGGGAAAGAGCGUGUAAUUUAUUACUUAAGCAGGAGGUUGAUUGAUGCUGAGACCAGGUAUUCGGCCAUUAAAAAACUAUGCCUAUGCUUAUAUUUUUUGUGUAUCAAGUUAAGGCAUUACUUGUUAUCGGCCGAAUGCACUGUUGUUUGCAAAGAUGAUGUGAUCCGGUACAUGCUAUCUAUGCCGAUUAUGAGUGGCAGGAUCGGUAAAUGGAUUUUGGCGCUGUCGAAAUUCGAUCUGCGUUAUGAAUCGGCUAAGGCAGUUAAAGGGCAGAUUAUGGCCGAUUUUGUGACUCAACAUUGCGGUGCUGUGGAGGCUUUGGAAAUUGUGCCCUGGACACUUUUCUUUGAUGGAUCUACAUGUGACCAGGGGACAGGAUCGGCGUAGUAUUAGUUUCCCCUAAAGGGAGGAAGUAUGAAUUUUCCUUGCCGAUUGUUGCUACAUCAACAAAUAAUCAGGCUGAGUAUCAGGCUUUGAUCAAGGGAUUGGAGUUGUUAAGAGAAGUUCGUGCUGACGCUGUCGAAAUCUUUGGAGAUUCUAUGUUGGUUAUAAAUCAAUUGGCCGGGAACUAUGAAUGCCGAAGUGAAGUUCUCAUAACUUAUUACGAGAGGAGUAUGCAACUGUUAAAGGAAUUCAAAGAUUUCCGUUAAGAACAUGUUCCCCGAUUGCAUAAUGAAGAGGCCAAUCGGUUAGCUCAGCAUGCCUCAGGAUAUCAGCCUAUAAUUAAUACAGUAUCGGCAAUCAAUGUCGAUGAUUGGACGAAAGAAAUUAUUGAUUAUUUGAAAGAUCCAUCUAAGAAAGUUGAAAGACGAGUUAGAUUUCAAGCAACCAAGUAUGUGCUCCUUGACAAUGAAUUAUACUAUCGAACUAUUGAUGGAAUUCUUCUCCGAUGCUUAGGAGAUGAUGAAGCUAGGAGUUUGGUGGGAGAAAUUCAUGAAGGGGUGUGUGGAGCGCAUCAGUCAGCUUUUAAGAUGAAGUGGAUGAUUAGGAGGAAUGGAUAUUAUUGGCCGACUAUACUUGAGGAUUGCUUUAAGUAUUUCAAAGGGUGUCAAGGGUGUCAGAAGUUUGGUAACAUUCAAAGGGCACCUGCAUCGGCUAUGAAUCCUAUCAUAAAGCCUUGGCCGUUCCGAGGAUGGGCUAUUGAUCUGAUCGGCCAGAUUUAUCCACCAUCUAGCAAAGGGCAUAAGUUUAUUCUAGUUGCCACCGAUUAUUUCACUAAGUGGGUUGAGGCUAUUCCUUUAAAGAAAGUCACAUCGGCCAAUAUGAUUGAUUUUGUGAAGGAGCAUAUCAUUUACCGAUUUGGAAUUCCUCAAACAAUUACUACCGAUCAGGGCACUAUGUUUACAUCAGGGGAGUUUGAUGAAUUUGCAAUCGGUAUGGGGAUCAAAGUGUUGAAUUCUUCUCCUUAUUAUGCUCAAGCCAAUGGGCAGGCCGAAGCGUCUAACAAAGGAAUUAUCAAACUUAUCAAACGAAAGAUUGAAGAAAAUCCUAGGCGGUGGCAUACAUUAUUGAAUGAAGCAUUGUGGUCCUAUCGGAUGGCUUGUCAUGGAUCAACCAAGGUGUCGCCCUAUCAAUUGGUAUAUGGACAUGAUGCAGUGUUACCUUGGGAAAUUAAGGCUAGAUCUAGGCGAUUAUCUUUUCAAGAUCAAUUAGCUACCGAUGAUUAUGCCACUUUGAUGACCGAUGAGUUAGAUGAUCUAGCGGGACAUCAGUUAAAGGCCUUAAUGAGUAUAGAAGAAAAUAAGAAGAGAGUUGCUAGAUGGUAUGACAAGAAAGUAAAGGCUAAGGAGUUUGCCGAUGGGGACUUGGUAUGGAAAUUAAUUUUACCAAUCGGGACUAAAAGUUCGAAGUUUGGAAAGUGGUCUCCUAAUUGGGAAGGUCCUUAUCGGAUAAGUCGAUCGGCUCCUGGAAAUGCCUAUAUUCUAGAAACUCUCGAAGGAGUUGAAUUUCCCAGAGCAUUAAAUGGCAAAUAUUUAAAGAAGUACUACCCCAGCAUAUGGGUCGAUGCAUAAAAGUUUAAGUGCCGAUAACACUCCUAUCGGCUAGAUUUAAAUGUUUGGGGGCAGGACUUAAUGUUUCAAAAGAUGCCGAUAACAGUCCUAUCGGCUAGACUAAAAGCUAAAAAAGCAGGAAAACACAGAUGUGUUGCCGAUGAAAGCUUCAUGUGUUCAGCAGCGCCUGGAUCGCCGAUACGGCGCGUAGCCAGAUUUGGUUGGCUGCUUCUAUCUCCUUGAUAUCAUCAUCGGCAGAACCUUCUAUCGGCUUCAACUUCUUCUUCAACUGCCGCGCCUUGCGACCGUGGACGUUCCGCUCAUGCUCAAGGAGCUUGAUGGUCUCUGGCAGUUGACUCUCUUCCUGUUGGGCUUGGGACAAGGCGUCCUCCACUUGUUUGAGUUCUGCCAACAGGGAUUCCCUUUUUGCCGAUAAGUCAGAUAUCUUCUGCUUCAGCGUGUUUCCUGAAGAUCUCAAGAUGCCGAUGUUCUUAUGCUUCUCAUCGGUCAGGAGUUUCUCUUUCCUCAUCUCUUCAGAGAGUUGAGUCUGAGCAGCUCUAUCGGCAAGACGCCGAGAAGCCCUCUGGUACUGCAGCUGACGACUCUCCAAAUGUGCGGCUUGGAAGAGGAUUUCUUCAACAUCGGUUGGGAUCUGGCCUCUGAGAGUCCUGAACAGAACCUUGGCUGGGUUUGAGUCAUCAACCAGUUGUGCCGUGUCCUGAUGAAGGAGGGCCGACAGUUCUUCCAGCUUGGCCCUGAUCUCUGCCAAUGUGAUGCCAGAUGUCGAUGGCGAAGGAGAAAAGGCUAUCGGGAGAAUCUUGUUCCUGGGAAAGGAAAACAGAGUAAGUUAGUUCAUGCUCGGAGAAUCGGCAAAUAAUACUGAUGAAGUCUGAGCGACUUACUUGCUUCAAGGCUAUUUCUUGCCGUUGACUCGAAGAUGCCGGUGGGGCCACAGGUUGAUCGGCCAGGGUUACCGAUGGGACAACAUCGACUGAGAGGAAAACAGAAAGAGUUAUGAGGCUAAAUGAGAAUAAGUUCAUCGGUGGCAAUAUAAUAAAAUAUGUUACACUGAGGAAGAACAAUGCUUGUCUGAAUUGGGGGAACUGCCGAUGAUGCAAUUGGACCUGCCGGGCCAGUUGUUUGUCCACCCACGUCAGCUAAUGUACCUUCUACUUGGGGUUCUUCCUGCUGGGGUUUGUCUGCUUCUAGUGCUUCCUGCGGAUGAGGGGGAGAUGGUGCUUGCUGGAUCUCCACGUCUGGAGGGGAGGGAGAAGAUUCCACCGGAAUAGGAGACACCGGGGGAGGAGGAGGAGGAGGAGUAGCCACUUUCUGGCGCUUUGUUCCAGCCCUGGUACUCUUGGCGCCCUUCCUCUUUGACUGGCUGGACUGGGGGGCAUCGGCACCUUGACGUUUGGCUUUUGCCGAUGCACCGGUUUGCUGCAGCAAUAAAAAGGAGUUUAUAAAUACAAAUAUAGCCGAUGUAAAGGUAAUCGGUAUAAAUGAAAAAGGUUGGCAAAUUGCCUUGAAAGCUUGUGCCAAAGUGGAAGCAGCUACUGAUGGUGGUGUCUGAGUUCUCUUGGUGGUGACUUUCUUAAGACGCACACCUCGAUGCACAAUGGUAGCCAGAGUGGGAGCAUUGUGGCCGAUUGAAGAAAUUGGGCCUGGUGGAAACAGGUCGAUCGGCUUACCACUUCUGCUAACCGAUGGAGGGAUGUUGUCAACCUGCAAAAGGGAUACAAAGGUGAGUUACCGAUGAAAAUAAGAUUGAAAAAUCGGGACACCAGUUUGAAAUACUUACAGCAUCAUCGGGUACUUUGUACUCGGGGUCGAUCAUACCGCGAUAUGAAAGGGCUGACUUGCAGAAUAGAUGCUCUUUCCAUUCUGCCCACCAUAGCUUGUAUGCCUGAGUAAUGAAAGCGGCUGGAACCCACUCUGACAAAUCUGCAUCUGUAUCGGCAUUUGGUGGUAGUUGGGCUACUCGAAUCCACUCAAGAAAGUUGCUGAUGGGCUCUCUGGGUUUUAUCACGUCGGCAUAACAGAGCGCAAUCGGCAACUGGCCGAAAGCUAAUUGACGAGCUAAUGCCGAUGGGUUGUAAAAUUCAUAAGUCUGGGGAGAGGUUUUUGUGCUACCAAAGAAAUUCACUGGUAUGGCUCUAGGAGUCACAAUUGCCAUCAUCACCUCAUUAUCCCUGUCAAGAGCGUCAUCAAAUGGAUUGAAGACCAGGGGCAGCAUACUGUCUGGGUCGUCAUAGGCCAACCACGGUCGUUCAUCUCUGGCCAAGCCCUCAUACAGAGUCUGGAAGAAUCGGCCGAUCUGAUCUGGAUUACCCCCUGAACCAGGUAGAACUAUGACAGCUUCGCCAAAGUUCAAGGGAGCGCGUGUUGCCGAUUCCUCUUCACCCAGCACAUGAUUUUCAGUUAUAUCUCUUGGAAAACGCUGCGUGAACAGGUUGAAGUUGAGGCGCUUGUGCAGAUGCAGAUUAAGCCACAUGUUAAUGAACCACCAAGGGCCACCUAAGUUGUCGGUAGACUGGCCGAGCAGGAGUUUCUUGGCCACCUGAUGGAGAAGAUGGUAAAUGGCGCCAAGCAAGUAUCGGCCGAGAGGGAAUCGGCCACCGUUAGCCAGUCUCUCUGCUGCCGAUAGAUAGACGGAAGUCGGUCCUGCCGAUCGACCACAGAACACAAACUUGUCUAGCCACAUGUUCAGAAAGGUGGUUUGUUCUUUUAUGCUGACAGGUCCCUUCCCAUGAUAGUUCUGAAUGUAUCCUGACCAGCCGCCGAUAGCGCGAGUCUCUACUUUGGCACUAGGAGCUGUGUCAAAAAAGUGGGUGCUAUCGGCAGAAGAUAUAUCUAGACCGGUGAGCAUGGCUACAUCGGCAAGAGUAGGAGAAGCAGGGCCAUGGCCAAAGACAAAAGCAUUGAGGGUGUCUGACCAAAAGUAAGAUGCAGCUAUCAACAGUGACUCAUUCCUGUGCAUAUCGGCAAUGGACAGCUUAAUGCAUUGAUCUAGUUUUCUCUCACCCCAUUGGACUUCAUUGGAGUUGCUGACUCUCAAGAACCAGUCUUUCCACCCUACGGUAGGGCUGGGCCAAGAGCGGAAGGUGUCUUUCCACAGAUCUAAAGAAAAAUUUUCGGCUCUGAAAGGGAUCCUAUUGGUUUCUGCGUUAAUGAGAUCGGUUGGAUCUGGAUCCCCUAGAGGGCCGAGGCAUUGGAGGUGUGGUUGAUCGGUGGGAAUGACGAUUUUGUUAGACAAUUCCUGGUGGUUUUGGAAUAAAGAAAAAGAACACAAAGAAAAGAAAAGAAAAUGUUCAGUAAAAUGGAUUGCGGAUGAACAGGGAUGCGAAGAAAAGAACAGGGGAUGGAAUGAAGGACUGACCUCAGGGACGAUGAAGCUAAUAGCCAUCUUGCGACGAGGAGGAUGCCUGGGGCUUCGGGUUGGCGAGGAGGAGUUUUUGCCGGAGGUCUUGGAGACGUUGAAUGGCGCCGCCGCUAGGAAAGUAAAGUUGGGAUGAUGGAAUGAUGUGAUGGAGAAGGAGUACCCGAGAAGGAACUAUUUAUAAGACAAAAUGGGCAAGGGCAAAUCUGACUUAUCUCCUUGCCGCAUCCGAGAAAUCCGAGGGUGUUCACGUAGAUAUGGUAACUGUUCGCACGAUAAUCGAGGGAUUGUGCAGGUGAUUUGACGGGAAGCGGUCAUUAUCUGGAGAUAUUUUACUGUGCGGGAUCUCCUGGUCGGUCCAUCGGCAGCGUCCUGUAACGGUCAUAUUGUCGAUGGGCAAGUGAGGUGAAGAUAGCCGUUUGUACGAACGUCCUGAUCAGUUCAUCGGCAGAUCUUUGUAACGGUAAUAUUGCCGAUGUACGGUUGAGAAGGAAAUGCCCGUUUAGGAAAUUGAGGAUUUCGAGGAAUAUGCGGAAGAAUAGGAUCAGAGUUGUUCAGAUUGAGGUUGUCGGUUACCAGAUUAGGAGCAUUAAUUACGGGAAAAGGCAUCAUUACUGCAGAGAAUUUCGGAGCAUUGAUGAUUUCAUACUCCGAAAUUGGGGGGCAUGUGUUGACACCGUUUUUGGGCACGUGUCCAGGUUGGCAGGAUAACACGGCAGUGUUUGUUUACAGGAUGAGUUGCCGAUGAGGGUGGUUGCCGAUGAAGGAGAAGUUGAACGUGACUAAGUCUACAGGCGGUGAUGUGUCUGUGCCGAUUGCUAUGAUGAGAAAGUCUGCCGAUGACUAUGGCAAGGGAGUCUGCCGAUGAUACGAACGAGGAGUUCGGCAGCCGCCGAUGGUUUGUGACAGAGUUUCAGUUUGUCACGAGGGAUAGUUUUGUUAUUUCCUUAAUUAUUUGAAUCGUUUUGUAUGUGGAUUCCGUGUAAUUUAGAAUUCGAAUUCUAAUCGUGUCUGGCUGUAGCUCUUUGAGCAGGGUAUAAAUAUAGACUCUAGGACCUUGUAAUGAGACAUCUAUCAAUCAAUCAAACACACGUUUUUUU